rnacentral:rRNA from 1 species
GAUGAACGCUGGCGGCGUGCCUAACACAUGCAAGUCGAGCGAGAUGUAUAUGGACGAAACUUCGGUCUAGGAAAUAUACUGACAGCGGCGGACGGGUGAGUAACGCGUAGGCAACCUGCCCCAAACACAGGGAUAGCCUCGGGAAACCGGGAUUAAACCUGAUAAUGCCAAACAGUCACAUGGCUGUUUGGCCAAAGAUUUAUCGGUUUGGGAUGGGCCUGCGUCUGAUUAGUUGUGUGGGUAACGGCCUACCAGACUACGAUCAGUAGCCGACCUGAGAGGUGAUCGGCCACAUUGGAACUGAGACACGGUCCAAACUCCUACGGGAGGCUG